AUUGAACGCUGGCGGCAUGCUUUACACAUGCAAGUCGAACGGCAGCGCGGGCUUCGGCCUGGCGGCGAGUGGCGAACGGGUGAGUAAUGCAUCGGAACGUGCCCAGUAGUGGGGGAUAGCCCGGCGAAAGCCGGAUUAAUACCGCAUACGACCUGAGGGUGAAAGCGGGGGACCGAAAGGCCUCGCGCUAUUGGAUCGGCCGAUGUCGGAUUAGCUAGUUGGUGGGGUAAAGGCUUACCAAGGCGACGAUCCGUAGCUGGUCUGAGAGGACGACCAGCCACACUGGGACUGAGACACGGCCCAGACUCCUACGGGAGGCAGCAGUGGGGAAUUUUGGACAAAGGGGGCAACCCUGAUCCAGCCAUGCCGCGUGCGGGAAGAAGGCCUUCGGGUUGUAAACCGCUUUUGUUCGGGAAGAAAUCCUCUGGGCUAAUACCCCGGGGGGAUGACGGUACCGGAAGAAUAAGCACCGGCCAACUACGUG
rnacentral:rRNA from 1 species